rnacentral:rRNA from 1 species
UAGAACCUACCUUUUACAGAGGAAUAGCCUUUAGAAAUGAAGAUUAAUGCCUCAUAGUAUUGUAGACUGGCAUCAGUUUAUAAUUAAAGAUUUAUCGGUAAAAGAUGGCUAUGCGUCCUAUUAGUUAGUUGGUAAGGUAACGGCUUACCAAGACAGCGAUAGGUAGGGGUCCUGAGAGGGAGAUCCCCCACACUGGUACUGAGACACGGACCAGACUCCUACGGGAGGCAGCAGUGAGGAAUAUUGGACAAUGGAGGAGACUCUGAUCCAGCCAUGCCGCGUGUAGGAAGAAUGCCCUAUGGGUUGUAAACUACUUUUAUACAGGAAGAAACACUGGUAUGUAUA